UACGAAUUUCCAUUGUCCGGUGAAGUGUUCGGAUCGCUGUGAUGCGGGCGGUUCGCCGCCCGUGACUCUGCGAGAAGUCCAUUGAACCUUAUCAUUUAGAGGAAGGAGAAGUCGUAACAAGGUUUCCGUAGGUGAACCUGCGGAAGGAUCAUUG
rnacentral:rRNA from 1 species